UGAGGAAUAUUGGUCAAUGGACGAGAGUCUGAACCAGCCAAGUAGCGUGCAGGAUGACGGCCCUAUGGGUUGUAAACUGCUUUUGUUUGGGAAUAAUCGACAUUACGUGUAAUGUUUUGCAUGUACCAUUCGAAUAAGGACCGGCUAAUUCCGUGCCAGCAGCCGCGGUAAUACGGAAGGUCCAGGCGUUAUCCGGGUUUAUUGGGUUUAAAGGGAGUGUAGGCGGUUGGUUAAGCGUGUUGUGAAAUGUAGAUGCUCAACAUCUGACUUGCAGCGCGAACUGGCUGCCUUGAGUACACACAACGUAGGCGGAAUUCAUGGUGUAGCGGUGAAAUGCUUAGAUAUCAUGAAGAACUCCGAUUGCGAAGGCAGCUUACGGGAGUGUUAAUGACGCUUAAGCUCGAAGGUGGGGGUAUCGAACAGG
rnacentral:rRNA from 1 species